rnacentral:rRNA from 1 species
GACGAACGCUGGCGGCGUGCUUAACACCUGCAAGUCGAACGAAGUGGCGAACGGGUGAGUAACGCGUAAUCAACCUGCCCUUCAGAGGGGGACAAAAGUUGGAAACGACUGCUAAUACCGCAUACUGAAGGAGGGGAGUGCGUGUGAUUAGCUAGUUGGAGGGGUAACGGCCCACCAAGGCGAUGAUCAGUAGCCGGUCUGAGAGGUUGAGCGGGCACAUGGGGACUGAGACACGGCCCAGAUUCCUACGGGGUGCAGCAGUGGGGAAUCUUCCGCAAUUGACGAAAGUCGGACGGAGCAACUCCGCGUGAGGGAUGACGGCCUUCGGGUUGUAAAGCUCUGUUAAUCGGGACGCGGUACCGGAAUAGAAAGCCACGGCUAACUACGUGCCAGCAGCCGCGGUAAUUC